rnacentral:rRNA from 1 species
AAUGUUUGUCGAUGGGGGGAACCCUGCUCCAUCCAUCCAGCGUGUGUGAGGAAGGCCUUCCGGUUGAAAAGCACGCUUGUCAGGGAAGAAACAACACCGGCUUAUACCCGGUGCCAAUCACGGUACCUUCAGUACAAGCACCGGCUGACAACCUGCGAGCAGCCGCGGUAAUACGUAGGGUGCAAGCGUUAAUCGGAAUUACUGGGCGUAAAGGGUGCGCAGGCGGCUAGGAAAGGAGGAGGUGAAAUCCCAGGGCUCAACCUGGGAACUGCAUUCAUAACUGCCGAGCUAGAGUAUGUGAGAGGGGGGUAGAAUUCCACGUGUAGCAGUGAAAUGCGUAGAUAUGUGGAGGAAUACCGAUGGCGAAGGCAGCCCCCUGGGAUAAUACUGACGCUCAGGUACGAAAGCGUGGGGAGCAAACA